rnacentral:ncRNA from 1 species
CAAAGGUUUGGUCCUGACUUUAGUGUCAAUUAUGGCCAUAUUUACACAUGCAAGUUUCCGCUCCCCCGUGAGAAUGCCCUUUAGUUCCUAUGAGGAAAAAAGGAGCCGAUAUCAGGCACAUUAUAGAUAGCCCAAGACAUCUUGCUCAGCCACACCCCCAAGGGUCUUCAGCAGUGAUAAAUAUUAAGCAAUAAGUGUAAACUUGACUUAGUUAAAGCCAAGAGAGCCGGUAAAACUCGUGCCAGCCACCGCGGUUAGACGAGAGGCUCAAAUUGACACCCUUCGGCGUAAAGCGUGGUUAAAUAUGUAGUAUUACUAAAGUUGAAUGUUCUCAAAACUGUUAUACGUUCACGAGACUAUGAAACCCUCUUACGAAAGUGACUUUAUAAUAUUGAUGCCACCAAAGCUGAGAAACAAACUGGGAUUAGAUACCCCACUAUGCUCAGCCUCAAACUAUGAUAGCUUAUUACAUUUGCUAUCCGCCCGGGUACUAUGAGCUUUAGCUUAAAACCCAAAGGACUUGGCGGUGCUUAAGAUCCACCUAGAGGAGCCUGUUCUAGAACCGAUAACCCCCGUUAAACCUCACCCCCUUUUGUCUUAACCGCCUAUAUACCGCCGUCGUCAGCAUACCCUAUGAAGGACAUAUAGUAAGCACAAUUGGCAUAGCCCAAAACGUCAGGUCGAGGUGUAGCAUAUAAGGGGGGAAGAAAUGGGCUACAUUCUCUACCCUAGAGCACACGAACAAUUGGACUGAAAACCCCAUUAGAAGGAGGAUUUAGCAGUAAGGAGUAAAUAGAGUGUACUCCUGAAGGCGGCCCUAAAGCGCGUACACACCGCCCGUCACUCUCCCCAAGCUAAAAUUUAAAUAUACCUAAUUAGCUCAGCCAGCAAAGGGGAGAAAAGUCGUAACAUGGUAAGUGUACCGGAAGGUGCACUUGGCUAAAU